rnacentral:rRNA from 1 species
UAUGUAGGGGGCAAGCGUUAUCCGGAAUUACUGGGUGUAAAGGGAGCGUAGACGGUAAUGUAAGUCUGGAGUGAAAGGCGGGGGCCCAACCCCCGGACUGCUCUGGAAACUAUGUUACUAGAGUGCAGGAGAGGUAAGCGGAAUUCCUAGUGUAGCGGUGAAAUGCGUAGAUAUUAGGAGGAACACCAGUGGCGAAGGCGGCUUACUGGACUGUAACUGACGUUGAGGCUCGAAAGCGUGGGGAGCAAACAGG